UACGAAGGGUGCAAGCGUUGUUCGGAAUUACUGGGCGUAAAGGGCCAGUAGGCGGCCAACUAAGUCGGAUGUGAAAUCCCCAGGCUUAACCUGGGAACUGCAUCCGAUACUGGAUGGCUUGAAUUCGGGAGAGGGAUGCAGAAUUCCAGGUGUAGCGGUGAAAUGCGUAGAUAUCUGGAGGAAUACCGGUGGCGAAGGCGGCAUCCUGGACCGAGAUUGACACUGAUGAGCGAAAGCUAGGGGAGCAAACGGG
rnacentral:rRNA from 1 species